AAAUUAGAAAGCCGGCCCUGCCCCAUACAGAUUGUCAGUACUGAUGGAGCGCUGUGCUUUUGUUCGCAAUUGAUAAACAAAUAAGCUCCAUGCUUGACAGAUAAUAACAAAAACACAAGGGGUUUGUUUGAGACAAUGAGUGUUGUAGUCAUAUUUCUUCCAACAUUUUUGUACGGAAGUGAUUCAGGACUACUUCAUGGUCUUUAUGUGCAGCAGAACACAGUAAAGGUUUUCUAUGUUACUCAUUUGACUAAUACUUGUCAUUCGGUGUCCAAGACGCCGAAACGGAAAAGAUGUAUUGGCUACUACGCAAGAACUAUUGAUAAUGAAUUUACGACACUUCCAAACGAAAAAGGAAAUUGGCUGAUGUUAAACUUCCAAGAGCAUUCGGUUAUUCUGACAAAAUUAAUAAUAAGUGGGAACCCCGUCACAUUGAUGAAGGGGUGCCGUGUGAUAUGUGUGUUUUAUGAUUAUCAUAAAUUUUUUGCUUCAGAAAUCCUUUGUGAAGGACUUGAGAGCACUACUGGCUUCAGUUCGGAUUACUGCAGAUUUUUAGCGAAUUUCUUGAAGUUAGAUUCUGGAGCAAACGCCCCCGAAAGCCCCAAGUGUUUGGAUUUUUUUGUCAGAGUAGCACAGAGAGCACGGCAAUAUUUGCUAGCUGUGGCCGCUUUUGUGACACCAGUCGUGAGACACACAUCAACAGGUUUACACUUGUGUGACAUCCUUAAUUCAACUGCAUGGCUUUUUGGCCAUGUGGCGCAUUUCAAGAAACCGACACUUAAAAUGGGCAACUUCCUGUUGGCUCUCUUGAUAGACGUCUUCUGUGGCCUUAUGUUAGUUCGUCUCAUUGUAGAACCGCUUACAGUGAACACUCCAUUUUCGAAAAUGCUUCUUGAUAUGGCAGAGGUCGUUGUCACUACACUCAGAGACUUGUUGCAUUGGCUGAUGGGUGUACCAGCCGGUUUGAAGCUGAACUAUGCAUUAAACAAUAUGCUAGGAAAAUUUUUCCUAUACCACAUAAAUCUUUGGUGGAUGUUUCUUGUUCUUUGUAAACCUUGUUUGGACUUGGCUGUUCAUAUGCUGACAUGGCUUGGAUGUUUAGGAGUUACAUUCCAAAUAUGCCUACUGGCUGAUCUGCUAGAUCUUGUCAGUUUUCAUGUAUACUGCAUAUAUGUUUAUGCUGCAAGGCUCUACAGUGUGCAACUGUCAGGUCUUGUUGCUUUGUGGCGGCUUUUCCUUGGCCGCAAGUGGAAUCCGUUGCGAGAGCGUGUUGAUUCCUGCAAAUAUUCGAAUGAUCAACUUUUUGUUGGAACUCUGGCAUUCACCAUUUUGCUCUUCCUUCUCCCAACAACGCUGAUGUACUAUGUUGUCUUCACAACGUUGCGUUUACUGGUGUUGAUAUUUAGAGGAGUCCUAGCUCAUUUCACUUGGUUACUGCGAGCAUUUCCAGCAUAUUCCACAGUUCUCUGGAUGACAAGAGCAACUACAGUCACAAGCUCCGUGCAGGUUUCAGUAUGUACAGAAAUAUCUGGAAAUGGUCCUCUCUAUCUUGCUGUUGAACCAGUAAUAGGUUCUUGGUGGUCAACGGUAGUUCGCGGUGUUCCUGAUUCGCUGCAACGUCCACCACCUGUGCAGUGGAGUCAGCUACUCAAACACUUAUGCACUGGAAGAUUGUAUAUCCUGUUUAUAUUUUCUGAAACAGAUACUAUGUAUCUGUUAUUAAUGACUGUGAAAGUGAUGAUCCUGAUUACAAAGACAGUACCCAUCGUCUAAUUUUGGAGAGAAGAUAAGGCUACCCAGAACUGAGAAAAAAGGAACUACCGCCCACAUAUGCAGCUCUUUAGCAAGCAUCACAGACUAAGGGUAGCCGGAGCAGACUGACUGCCCUGUAAGGAGAAUUGCGGUGGCUGGAAAUUCAGAAUUUUUGCACUGUGAAAAUGUGGCAUGGGAAGCAAAAAUAAGUUGCAGUUCUUACUGAGUAAGGCUACCAAUAGAAUCCUGUUAAUCUGUAGCUAUUACAAUGAAAGGAACCCACAAGACAAGAUUCAGAGACUCUUGUUUUAGGUUAAUGUAAAGGAAAAAGACAAAGGUUUGCUUCAAAUCAAUCAUCUUUAAUGAGAAUAACAGUACAGCCUACAAAUGAAUAUGGAGUAAUGGCCACUUGUGUAAGCGUACUGCUUUGCUGUAGUGAUGAUCAAUCACUGUAAUUUAAAAAGCUAAUUCGUCAGUUGAAAAAGGAACAUGUCCAGCAAAUGCAGAAGUAAUUGUAUCUAAAUAAACAGCAAAAAUCACAUAAAUAUUAAAACAUUACACUCUGAAUAGGAAAAGAAACAAAAAUUAAUAUCCAAACUCAAGAGAUUUUUUUAAAAAGACAAAGCAAGCAUGUUUAAUUUUUAGACAGUACUAUAGUUGCAAUACAAGUACAUUUAAAAUAUUUGUUUGCAGUGAUUUAUUAUAAGUUUCCUUGGCUGAAUUUGUACUUUCACUAUUGUAGACACUUUCCUCUCCCACCACCCUCCCAAAUAUGGUUUAUUACCCUCCAUUUGCAUGGCAUGUUAUCUGAUUAUAUCCUGAUUUAAUUUGUUGAGAGGGUCAAUCCUUACCUUUCAAAAAUAUCACAUAAAUUUUGAAGAUCACAAAUAAUCUUAUCACAAAAUUACAACUGCCAGAGCUGCAAUGUUGUUCACUUUAUUUAUUUCAUAUUUUUAAUUUUUUUAAAAUUUUUGCUUACAGUCCUAAAUACUACUAGAUUUCAUCAUACUU